AGGAUACAGCCCUGUGGGCAGAUUCCCCCAGUGUCCAACCAGAAGAAAUGGACCCGGUGCUGGGCCUAAGGACUUUCAGACCUUGGUGCCAGCCUCCAUCACUGCCACCUCUCAGGGCUUUUGGGUCACAUUGUGUUUUGCCUGAAAUGUGAUUUCUUGGUCUCUGGGUGAUCUGC
ensembl:misc_RNA